GAACAAUGCAACACUCACAUCAUUUCCUGAAAGAAUUGAGUUGGAAGGCAAUUAUCUACUCACCAAACAGGCUAAAACAACAGUUCCUGAUAUUCUUCUCAAAUAUUUCAACUUCCCAGGAAUCCGGAAAAAAUAAUUCCAUGAGACGGUGUUAUGAAUGAAGAUUACCGGUUCAGCCAGUAUUUAAAAGAAAAAAAUUUAAGAAAAAAAAAAUCUUUAAAAAAGUUGACUUUCUGGGGGCUGAUGUGUUGUCAACUGGUGUCUGGAUACAAGAGCAGACUUUCCCCAAUUAGCAGAUUGCGUGCCCUGUCUGGUUGGCCAACUUCACUGUUUAUGCGUCCUACACGUUACCGCAGUCGAGACUCAAAACAGUAAACGCCUCAGAACACCAAAAGUGCCAGAAGCCACCUUAUUUUUGUUGUUAUUUUGUGUAAUUAUACCUGGGAGGAUUGGAGAGUUCUAGCGCUUUUUUUCACUUUUUUUUUUCUUUUUUAUGACUUGUUUUUUUGCAUUUCAUAAACUCUUGGCAACGGGUACAACAGCUGCCUUUGCACUUACAGGAGAGGAGAUCGUCUAGGACAAGUAUACUUCCAGCAAUGAGUAGUCCCCUCUUUCAGCAUGCAGUGUGUCAGUGGUACGGUCAAGAAAAUGGGCAUCAGGUGUACGGCCUUCUCAUGUGUUGCGUGACCUCCCCUCAGGAGCUGUUUCCUGAGGGGCACAUUCACUUCUGUUUUUUCCCUUCUGUUAUUUAUGCUCUGUGCUAGACUUUGUAAUACUCACUGGUGCCCUCUGAGCGCUAACAUUCCUCUUUUACCCUCCUCAUCCCUGACUGUGCUCUCCCUCAAUAAGGAUAAAUCAGAGGUUGCCAGCUGAGUUCUUUUUUUUUUUAUUAUGAAAAGGUCAGCUUGUUUUACUUUAUGGUAGAAAGUCUAAGACUUUAAUGGAAAAGGUGGAUGUGGAGUUGUUUUCAUAGAGUUUAAGUAAGGUUAAGCAGAGUUCCCCCAAGGUUUGCACUAAUGCUGGCGCUAUUUAAUAUUUGAUUUGGAGAAAGGCGCAAACAGUGGGGUGGUAAAAUCAACAGAUGACAAAAAAUUACUCAGUCACAUUUAGAAAGGAUGAGAAGGAAAAGUAGAAGGACCUAACAAAGAGCAGGCAAUCUGACAUCAUGAUGGUGUCGUGAUCGCAGUGUAAUGUAAUUUAGAGAACAGUUUGGACUAUUCGUAUAUACUAGAUUUUAAAAUUACUGAAACCAUUCAGGAAAAAGAUAUGCAUGUUGCUGCAGAGAACUGAGUGAAAACAUCUCUUCAAUGUGCAGUGUUGGCUGUAAAGCAAAUGUGAGAAAUUAGGUAGUAUUAAGAGAAGAAUAGAAAGCAAUACUAAAUAUAAUACCAUGAUAUAAAAAGUGUAUACUUGCAUAGAAUACUAUGUCGUUUGUUACUUCAUCUCAGAAAGCAUAUCACGGAGAUGGGAAAAGAUCUAGGAAAGAAUGAUGAAAAUAAAUAGAAGCUUGGAGAAGCA
rnacentral:lncRNA from 1 species